rnacentral:rRNA from 1 species
UACGAAGGGGGCUAGCGUUGCUCGGAAUCACUGGGCGUAAAGCGCACGUAGGCGGACUCUUAAGUCAGGGGUGAAAUCCUGGAGCUCAACUCCAGAACUGCCUUUGAUACUGGGAGUCUUGAGUUCGGGAGAGGUGAGUGGAACUGCGAGUGUAGAGGUGAAAUUCGUAGAUAUUCGCAAGAACACCAGUGGCGAAGGCGGCUCACUGGCCCGAUACUGACGCUGAGGAGCGAAAGCAUGGGGAGCGAACAGG